CCAGGUGCCCCGCAGAGAGGAAGUUCACCCUGGCCCUGAACAUGAACGCGCAUCCCCGAGAAGAAGAAGAUAGUGAAGGUUCUGCGAACGCGUUCGGAUGCUGGAGAACAUAGUGGGAACGCUUGAAUUAUUCCAUCCCACGGACCACAAGGAACCGGACGUGGAAAGGAGAACGCCAGACAGCAGGAAAAGGUGUUUAAGGGUCUCUUGAGACUGGAUGACGUCGUGUGGAAGCAGGAAAGGAGGAUAGAAAGAGUGCCCAGGAGGGGCCUUGUGGAACGGAUGAAUAGGGGAGGGGUGGUCGUCGGAGAAGAGCGCUCCAGGGACAGGUAUACCUGUAGAUAGUAUGUGACAACAUUAAUGUAUUUUUUUUUCCCGCAAUUUUUUUUUACUUUUUGUCUUCAACACAGAACUACGUAUUAAUUUACCUCUAUUGGAAAGUAUAACCAGUGUUAUAGUAAUGAUGAGUAACAUAUUUCCUCAUUUUUCCUCAGUUUGGACAGAGCACUCUCAACUAUUUCAUUGUGAGUUAUACUGUGUAUGACUAUA